rnacentral:rRNA from 1 species
UAACGACUUCCCCACUGUCUCCAGCAUCGACUCAGUGAAAUUGAAUUGCCCGUGAAGAUGCGGGCAACCCGCGGUUAGACGGAAAGACCCCGUGCACCUUUACUACAGCUUUGCAGUGGUAUUAGGCAGUCCCUGUGUAGGAUAGGCGGGAGGCUAUGAAACGUUGGCGCCAGCUGGCGUGGAGCCACCCUUGAAAUACCGCCCUUGUACUGCUUGAUAUCUAACCGCGGCCCCUUAUCGGGGUCCGGGACCCUGCAUGGUGGGUAGUUUGACUGGGGCGGUCUCCUCCCAAAGUGUAACGGAGGAGCACGAAGGUGCGCUAAUCACGGUCGGAAAUCGUGAGGUUAGUGUAAUGGCACAAGCGCGCUUAACUGCGAGACUGACAAGUCGAGCAGGUACGAAAGUAGGUCAUAGUGAUCCGGUGGUUCUGAAUGGAAGGGCCAUCGCUCAACGGAUAAAAGGUACUCCGGGGAUAACAGGCUGAUACCGCCCAAGAGUUCACAUCGACGGCGGUGUUUGGCACCUCGAUGUCGGCUCAUCACAUCCUGGG